GGCACAGAAAGCCACCUCCCAGACACCCCAGGAAGGCGACAGAGAGACCAGAGGCGUGGCUGGGAGUUCUCAGAUAGAAGCCACUUCCGGCCAGGCCUGGCUAAGUCCUUCGGCCUCUGCUCUAUCACCGACUCCUCACAGCCAGCCCACUAGGCACAAUGGAGCCUUCUGAUGAGGAACUUGGUGCCUUCAACCAGAGCGAGUGCCAAAGGCUGCUGGAAGACAGAGGCCGUGGGCGCUCCAUGAGGAGGGGCCGGGACCCCCGGCCAUGCCCGCGGAGUUCAAACGGAACCAGGCUGCUACGACAGGCUAACUCCAAAUAACCGAGAGGCCCGACGGGUUCACAGAAUCCUCAGGAACUGGAGUAAACGGUGACCCGUUUUCGAGAUGGACAAACUAAAAAAGCUCAGCAGCAUUUCGUACCAGAUACACCCGGGGAGCUACAGAGGCCUGGCACCUGGGUCAAGGGCUGGGGGCAAAGACCAGUGACCAUGCUCCUCUCGGCCAGCCCCAGGGGGAUCCGGCCACCUGGUCAGGGCCCCCGGCCAGGUGUCACGGCAAGGUGGCCGUGUCGUGAGCGCGGCAGGGGUCUGCGCUUACCUUUCUAGGUCUGGCAGCUGGGUGAUGGACAGCGGCUCUCCUCCUCACCCCCCUCACAGCAUUGGUCUGACGCCAACCGGCUCCUCCUCGUUGUCCUGGGUGGGCAGGGAGAGACAUGGGACACCCGUGAACAUCCAGGGAUGCAGACACCAGUCCGUGUCCCCCGACCCCACUGCCACAGCCAGGCUAAUCUCAGCAGCCUCAGGCCUCGAACGCACACCCGGGGUGCCCGAUUUCCCCGGGACCCUGUCCUCCCCGCCCUGUGGACCUGCCACGCGCCGGCCUACUCUGCCUAGUGGGGAUCUUUCAGACUAAAGAAACCUAUUUGAGUUUUGUUCCUUCUGGGGCUCGGGGGCUCCGGGUCGUUGUCUUUUUCUUCCCAGUGAGAAAAGCAGAAAGCCGUGGACCUUGCUGCGCGGCCCCCAGGCAGGGUGACGGGGAGAAGCUGGCGGGGUAUUUUUAGCCGGCCUUGGGCCCCCACAGCGUCUCCUCUCUGCUGUGCCUGGCUCCGGGGAAUUAUCUCACAGGGCCGGCCGGCAGCCACUUCUAAAGCCACUCUGUGACCCCUGCCUGAAUUCCUUCCUCGUUAUGAACUGCUCACCAGAUCUCUGACCAACACUUGGAACCAUGUUACGCGCACGUCUCUUCUCAGAAGACCAGCUCACUCCUGGCCCUUCGUGAUUCUUGGUCCCAGCUGAGUCCUGUCCGUACACUGGCUCAACAUAUAUAUAUUUUGACUUAAUAUUUACCUUGACUUCAA